rnacentral:snRNA from 1 species
GUGCUCGCUUUGGCAGCACAUAUACUAAAAUUGGAGAUUAGCAUGACCCCUGCGCAAGGAUGACAUGCAAAUUCGUGAAGCGUUCCA